AUGCUUUGUUUGUUAUUGGCAAUCUUAGUGCUCAGCAAUAUUUGGGUCAGUGGAGAGUUUUCAAGUCUCAAAAAAAGGCUCCACAAGGUAGUAUUAGUGGCAGAUCAACCCAUUCCCAGUAUGAAUUAUAAGUUACUAAAAUGGCCAUGGGAUGUAGGAGACUGGAGUUUUGGUUGUUCUAGGUUCUACCUGUUGACUGGAGGAUGGGCUAAGUGGUCACACACAAAUGGAUUUGACACAAGUAGCAAGCUACUUGUUACAACUCAUGUUGUCACGACUGGCUUAUUUGUCGGUAUCCGGUACAGUUCGGAGGAAUUACUGACAUUAUCCUGGAAUCCUGGACAGCAAGCAAUUUCUGGUCCCAAGUACCUAUCUAGCAUUGAAGUAACUGCAGCUAUUUGUGUUCUACCCCUCAGUUGUUCAUGGACUUCAAUUGAGUUGAAAGCCUGGUCUCCACCGGUGCGGCAUGUUCCUGGUCACCAUUCCAUGCAACUAAUGAUUUGGAGGAUAAGUGAAGAUAGACCUAUUACUGCAUGUUUGGUUAUGCUACAGACCACUGCAUUUUCUUCCACAGAAAUGAGCUCAUGGCAGAUAUCUAGUUUCAACAUCAUUGUCAGUAUCCCAGCUGAUUACUCCCAUGCAUGCUCUGUUCCUGACAAUACAUAUCUGCAGUCCAUGUCUAAGUGCUAUCCUGUUAAGAUGGUGAUUAGUAAAUCUUCUCAUGCUAGUGCUUCUUACUUGAUGGUAUGGAGGAUUGCUUGGGUGUUCUAUUCAGUGUCUACUAACGAGGCCUGCAACUUCUAG
rnacentral:rRNA from 1 species